GAUCAUAGAUUUAUAGUGGCCUAUAAAUUAUUGAAACACUACAACUUUUGAAGUUACACUCUGAUCUUCUAUACUUUUUUCAUAGACAAUAAAAUGGGAUCUACAAGGAGGUUUAUGCUAAUUGUGCUACCUCUUCUUCUGUUUUUGAUGUGCCAAGAGGUUGCAGCUACGAGCAGAUUAAGGAGCAAGGAGAAUUGUGCUUCAGCUGGCAUUGCAUGCCAUGUCAAAGUCACAGAGUUGCACAAGAUGGAUUACAGUGACGGCAAUGAAUCUCCACCUCAUGAGGAUUAUGGUUAUGACUAUGAUUUCUAUAGAAAACAUGGUGAUAUUCCAAGCCCUGGUGCUGGUCACUGAUGAAAUGGGCUUAUGAUUAUAUGCUACCAACUUGCUUACUGGCCAUACCUUGCCAAAGAAGAUUCCAGAAAAGUUUCCUAUAUAUAGUAUGUGGGUUUUUAGUUGUUGUUACAUAAAUUGAUUAUCAGAUGAGAUUUUGUAAAAGUUUGUAAAUUUACUUGGUGGGGAGAUGAUGCAAUUGCUGUGUAUUUUAUGUCUGGUGAAGUGAAUAACAUUUGAAUUUCAAUCCUGUCCUUAAACUUGAUGUGAAAUAAAGAUGAGCAAUACAGCUUGCUUGUUUCUUCUGUUA